GGUGGUGCAUGGUUGUCGUCAGCUCGUGUCGUGAGAUGUUGGGUUAAGUCCCGCAACGAGCGCAACCCUUAAGCUUAGUUGCCAUCAUUAAGUUGGGCACUCUAGGUUGACUGCCGGUGACAAACCGGAGGAAGGUGGGGAUGACGUCAAAUCAUCAUGCCCCUUAUGAUUUGGGCUACACACGUGCUACAAUGGACAAUACAAAGGGCAGCUAAACCGCGAGGUCAUGCAAAUCCCAUAAAGUUGUUCUCAGUUCGGAUUGUAGUCUGCAACUCGACUACAUGAAGCUGGAAUCGCUAGUAAUCGUAGAUCAGCAUGCUACGGUGAAUACGUUCCCGGGUCUUGUACACACCGCCCGU
rnacentral:rRNA from 1 species